GGAGGGGCGGGUGGGGGCAAUGCGUCUUCAUUGCCACCCCUGUUCGAGUUCUCAAAUGAGGAGCUGCGCAACCUUCCCGCAAGUGUAGACCUGAGCAAGCUAACAAUCAACUCGCAAGGACCUAACCAGACAGCAUCAGCUGCCAAUAACUCACAGACCGACGCUUAGUGAGCGAAGAGGAGCGCUCACAGGUUUAAUUGCUGGUCGAGCUGACUUCGAACAACUGCUAUCUUGAUUGAGACUGGAAAUAUACUCCGAUAUUGUGUCACUAGUUAGAAUACGAGGUGCAAUUUAUUCUGCCACCUUACCUGCAAAGAACUUCACUUUUCGUUCUCGAGUCUCGAUUGACUUCUCAAAUGAAGUCCCCACCCAAACACCAUGUCUCUAAAUUGUCACGAGAAUCUCCAACCCAAUUUGUAUAUACUUCCUCGCACUAAUCCGAAAGACCUUUUGGGUCUGAAUAUCCCAAAUUACGAAUCGAAAACAACCUCUGCACUCCGCCAAAUCUGAGAGAAACAAAAGGACAGAAAGAGCUUUCAUAUCUGCAAUUCAAAAAUGAAACUGCUCUGCUCAGUUUUAGAGUCUUCUGUCAGGUUUUGUUCCUGAUGUUUUUGGUAUCUGAAAACUACUUUGAUAAACUUAUUUUUGUUUGUGAAUUGCUCUUUUUCUGGCCAUCAUGAUUUGAUGCAAUUUUUUGGUGUUAGAAUCACAGAAACAAUGACGGCAUUGAAAUGAUGUUUCGUCAAUAGAGAAGUGCCCUACACGUAGAACUUUCUUAUCACUCACCGCGCGUAAUGUUUACUCAAUUUUUUUGAUUCAAAAUCACACACUACGUCUAUAAAUCGAAUUAACUAUUUUCAAAUUGCACGUUAUAUUGUUACUAUCAGAGUUAGAGAAGAACUUAAAUUGGGUUUGAAUUUAUUACAUGCCUUUGUUUUAUCUUAGAUACUUGGAUAGACGCACGUAUUCUGAAACAAAAAAGAGCAACUGGUAGCAUACAUAAUGGGUUUUAGAGACCUCUCGUUCCCUCCGCGCUGCCCCAAUAUCUAAUUUUUUGCUCGUUUUGUGAAAUGAUUCAAAGCAAAAUGUAAGCAAAUCAAGUUAAGCAGUCGUUCGAAGAUUGAUAGACAAAUAAACACAUUUAGUUUCGAAGAAUGAAAGGUUUUUGAGGUAUUUUGAUUUCGACUAUAAAAGAGAAACUUAAUGAACUACAUAGUCGGCUAAAAGAAUGGGACCAAGUGAACUAUCUCCUCCCGUAAUCAAGAGAUCGUUCACUGGUUAAAAAUAAUACUUCUCAGCCAAUCAUAUUUGAGUAUAGUACAUGCAUGCCUUACUGCUUGAUUUUGUCUUCUAAUUUUAGGGGGGAGAUUGUUCACUCGGUCUAUUUAGGGGGAGAUUGCUCACUUGGUCUAUUUAGGGGGAGAUUGUUCACAUGGUCUAUUUAGGUGGAGAUUGUUCACAUAGGCCACAGAAUGAUAUGGCGUUUUUCUACCCAAGUAUCGAAUGAAAAGUUAUUUGAAUAAUCUAUCUGUUGCAGACGGUCAGUACAUUGCAGUGUUCGAGCUUUUUCUAAUUGUAAAUAGGGCCUCAAACUCAUUGUCCAACUGCUAUUUUUGAUGUCUUUUUACUGCUCAUUUGGUAUCAGUUCAGGCUUAAAACUUAGCCUUCUCGAGAUGCUUGCCAGUUUGUAAGCUAUUAAGUCUUAAAAAUCAAUUGAAGUCAGACUUUUUAUAUGACCGUUGCCUGAUAAACAUAUAUUUUCAAAAAAAAAAGAUCAAAAAUAGCAUUUUGUGGAAUUUCAUCAAAAAUAACUCCCUAACUGAUGCUUAAACUGUGUGUUGUAGAUGAAAAUAAUGUAAAGCACUGAUUGUGAUUUGAAUUUCUGCAUUCAACUUAUGCGAACACCCUGACAUGGUAUUAUUAAAUUUAUUAUUAUUUACUGGUAUAAUUAUAAACAUAAGAGCCAUUGUGAGGUAGAUUUUUGUAUUAUUGUAAUUAGAAGUAUUUCAUGUUUUAAA